UUUGUUUGUUAUGUCUAGAUGACCAUGUCUGGUCGAGACUGCCUAGGAACAAAAUCUUCCUCUGCAAGGGCUCUUUAUAAUAGUGUUUCUUAACUUUUUAUUCUUGCUAUUUGUCUUCUUUUAUUUUUUAUAAUUUUUCUCUUUUCCUUGUUGACAUGACAUUUUGGCUCAUCCUUUUUUCCUUACCCCACUCCAAGUCUUUGUUCUCCUUCUUCUCUCUCUUGCCCAACUGUGGGUCCUGCCCCCCCUCUCUUCAUUGUUACAAUGCAAGUCCCAACCAAUGCAAAUGUACAUGCUACUUGAAGGAGGUGACCUCCGAGGAAGCAUUGCAAAUAGUUGGGGUGGAAAAGCCAUUCCAAUUGGAGUCUAAAGGACUUGUUCUUAUGAACGAGACAACAA
rnacentral:lncRNA from 1 species